GGCCGUCGGGCGGGAGCUGCAGUGGAGGAGGCGGGGAGAUGGCCGCACCCAGCUCGGCGCGGGGAGGGCAGUGCCGCAAUACCUUUAUGGGAGUUCUCUGCUGCCUCCUGUCUUCCAAGGCCCGCCCAGGGCCCAGAAGAAUCCCUCCCCUCGCCUGUGGUCUCGUCAUCGCCUCCAUGUCUAGUCGCCGCUGGUUCGUGGGCGGGAUUGUGUGCCACGGCUUCAGGGCGAACGUGGGGGCCUGGGCGUUGUCCUGCUAAGAAGCUGGACAGGUGUAGGGGUGGGCGGGCGGGCCCAGUUUCUGUGUCUUCCCAGGGACUGGCGUGGUGUCGGGGCGUUCGCCCGCGGUUAGUUUUAUGCAGCGAGACUGCAGGUUAUUACCGAGGAUGACCUGGAGGUUUUUCCUGGAAGUAGAGGGAAGGUAGCUUUGUCCCUCGAUCACCGGAGGUGUACGCGGACCCCGUUUCAGACGCUGGCUGCGCCGCCAGCGGAUCGCACUGUCAGAUUAGAUCUUAAUUGUGAAAUUGCAGCCUUGGCUUGGGAACCCAGCGCUUCCCCUGCUUCCACCUUUGAUCCCAUUCCCAUGUGCCGUGCUUGCUGCUCAUCCAGUCUGCAGGCCGAGUGCUGGCUUUCUUCUCCCCUGACGGCGGGGAGCCUGGUUACUUGAGCGGGAUGACACUUGACUGGCUGUGUCUUUGUUGCCUAAGCACAAGGAGGUCUUCGAGGUCAAGACUUUCCAUAAUACCAAGAUAUUUGCCUUUUAUCAUUUAUUCUUAAAAAGUGUGCGCUGAGACUACAAACUGUAAUGUUAAUGAACAGUACUAUGAACUGUACAAGUUAUUUCAAAGUCCUGUAGUUUUCCUUGUGCUUCACAAACAUGUACUUCUGUAGUGUGUUAGGUAUUUUCUCCCAAAUUUCCAAAUAUUAAAGUUUUAGAAUUUAGGAACCUUA